UGGGGAAUAUUGGGCAAUGGGCGCAAGCCUGACCCAGCAACGCCGCGUGAAGGAAGAAGGCUUUCGGGUUGUAAACUUCUUUUCUGAGGGACGAAGAAAGUGACGGUACCUCAGGAAUAAGCCACGGCUAACUACGUGUC
rnacentral:rRNA from 1 species